rnacentral:tRNA from 1 species
GCCCAAGUGGUGGAAUUGGUAGACACGCUAGCUUGAGGGGCUAGUGGGGGCAACCCCGUGUCGGUUCGAGUCCGGCCUUGGGCACCA